rnacentral:rRNA from 1 species
CCCAUCACUCCCAACCCAAUGUGAACGUUACCAAACUGUUGCCUCGGCGGGGUCACGCCCCGGGUGCSUCGCAGCCCCGGAACCAGGCGCCCGCCGGAGGAACCAACCAAACUCUUUCUGUAGUCCCCUCGCGGACGUAUUUCUUACAGCUCUGAGCAAAAAUUCAAAAUGAAUCAAAACUUUCAACAACGGAUCUCUUGGUUCUGGCAUCGAUGAAGAACGCAGCGAAAUGCGAUAAGUAAUGUGAAUUGCAGAAUUCAGUGAAUCAUCGAAUCUUUGAACGCACAUUGCGCCCGCCAGUAUUCUGGCGGGCAUGCCUGUCCGAGCGUCAUUUCAACCCUCGAACCCCUCCGGGGGAUCGGCGUUGGGGAUCGGGACCCCUCACACGGGUGCCGGCCCCGAAAUACAGUGGCGGUCUCGCCGCAGCCUCUCCUGCGCAGUAGUUUGCACAACUCGCACCGGGAGCGCGGCGCGUCCACGUCCGUAAAACACCCAACUUUCUGAAAUGUUGACCUCGGAUCAGGUAGGAAUACCCGCUGAACUUAAGCAUAUCAAUAAGGCGGARRAA